rnacentral:rRNA from 1 species
UAAUACGUAGGGUGCAAGCGUUGUCCGGAAUUAUUGGGCGUAAAGAGCUCGUAGGCGGUCUGUCGCGUCGACUGUGAAAACCCAAGGCUCAACCUUGGGCUUGCAGUCGAUACGGGCAGACUUGAGUGUGGUAGGGGAGACUGGAAUUCCUGGUGUAGCGGUGAAAUGCGCAGAUAUCAGGAGGAACACCGGUGGCGAAGGCGGGUCUCUGGGCCAUAACUGACGCUGAGGAGCGAAAGCGUGGGGAGCGAACAGGAUUAGAUACCCUGGUAGUCCACGCCGUAAACGUUGGGCGCUAGGUGUGGGGACCAUUCCACGGUCUCCGUGCCGCAGCUAACGCAUUAAGCGCCCCGCCUGGGGAGUACGGCCGCAAGGCUA